GGGAGUCAAGGAUGUAAUCAUUCCUGAGCUGAUGAAGAAACUAGAUAUCCUGGGGGAUAAUGGGAAUCUCAGAAAUGAGGAGCAGGUAGCGGUGAUUCAGGC